rnacentral:rRNA from 1 species
GGGCCCGCACAAGCAGCGGAGCAUGUGGUUUAAUUCGAAGCAACGCGAAGAACCUUACCUAGACUUGACAUGCAGUAGACAGUCCUAGAAAUAGGAUCUCCCUUCGGGGCUGCUGCACAGGUGCUGCAUGGCUGUCGUCAGCUCGUGCCGUGAGGUGUUUGGUUAAGUCCAGCAACGAGCGCAACCCUUAUCAUUAGUUGCCAACACUUAGGGUGGGAACUCUAAUGAGACUGCCUGGGUUAACCAGGAGGAAGGUGAGGAUGACGUCAAGUCCGCAUGGCCCUUAUGUCUGGGGCUACACACGUGCUACAAUGGUCGGUACAGAAGGCAGCAACACCGCGAAGUUGAGCAAAUCCCAAAAGCCGAUCCCAGUUCAGAUUGUAGUCUGCAACUCGGCUACAUGAAGAUGGAAUUGCUAGUAAUGGCGGGUCAGCACACCGCCGUGAAUACGUUCCCGGGUCUUGUACACACCGCCCGUCACAUCAUGGGAGUUGGUUUUACCCGAAGUCGCUGACCUAACCGCAAGGAAGGAAGCGCCUAAGGUAAGGCUGAUGACUGGGAUG